rnacentral:sRNA from 2 species
GAGUCCUGUCCGCCGCGUCCUCGGGCCAUCGACCAGGUACCGGACAGGAGCGGGGGAACCAGUGUGAACGCCGUCGUCCCAACGGCUUGGGGUGAAGCCGCCGAGGAGCGGGCGCAACCGCGUCCGAACCGUCCGGCGGCCGGGCCAGCCUCCCGGUCCGAACCCGACAGCUCACCUCGCAGGCGUGCGGAGAGGAAGU